GGAGAUGAUAGAAAUUGGGUGAAGUGAUGCAUACAAACACGGGUUGUAUUUUGUGAAACGACAAGAUUGUGUUGGGAGAUUAUUAGGAAGCAAGAGAUCGCUAUCAACAAAUUAGUAGAAAUAUUGGUCCAAAGCAAGAGGACUUCUCUUUGUUUUAUCCUAAAACGAGAGAUAAUGAUGGUGGAAGACUAUGAGGGAGAAACACAGUCUGCAUUUGCCAAUGUAUAAUAAGGUAACUGAAGAUAUGAUUAUUCAAAGUAGACAAAUAUAUAUAUAUAUAUAUGUAUAUAUAAUCAAAUUUUGAAAACAUAUUAGUAAAACACACUCGCCCAGAAAUCAAAGAUCCAAGGGGAGUUUUCUGUUUCCUUUA